rnacentral:rRNA from 1 species
UGGGGAAUAUUGCACAAUGGGCGCAAGCCUGAUGCAGCCAUGCCGCGUGUGUGAAGAAGGCCUUCGGGUUGUAAAGCACUUUCAGCGAGGAGGAAGGGUUCAGUGUUAAUAGCACUGUUCAUUGACGUUACUCGCAGAAGAAGCACCGGCUAACUCCGUGCCAGCAGCCGCGGUAAUACGGAGGGUGCAAGCGUUAAUCGGAAUUACUGGGCGUAAAGCGCACGCAGGCGGUUUGUUAAGUCAAAUGUGAAAUCCCGCGCUUAACGUGGAACU